rnacentral:lncRNA from 1 species
GACCUAGAGCUUUGCAGCAGAGAAUGACUUUGAACUUCAAGUCUUCCUGCUUCCAUUUCUCAAGUACUGGAUUUCAGAUAGGCCACUCAUCAGGACCAUACACACCCCAGGAUACCUGUGUCCAGCUUCUCAGCAUUGGAAUGGCAAAUACAUGCUACCAACUCCUUGCCUUUAUAUGGGUGCCAAGUAUUGAACUCAUGGUUUUAUGCUGUUGUUUUGGCUUUAUUUUGGUUUUGGGGUUUUUCAAGACAGGGUUUCUCUGUGUUGCCCUCAAUGUCCUGGAACUUGCUCUGUAUACCAGGCUGUCUUUAGACUCAGAGAUCUGCCUGCUUCUGCCUUCCAAGGUUCCCAUGUUUUUAUGAAAUACACUUUACCAACAGUG